AUGCCCAAUGGUUCCUUGGAUAAGUACAUUUACUCAGAGAACCCCAAAGAAAUUUUAGAAUGGGAGAGGCUAUAUGCGAUAGCUACCGGUAUUGCUCGUGGCAUUGAAUACUUGCACCAUAGCUGUAAUACAAGUAUCGUCCAUUUCAAUAUCAAGCCCCGAAAUAUCCUACUAGACAAAGAUUUUAGCCCGAAGAUUGCUGAUUUUGGCCUAGCUAAAUUGUGUCAUACAAAGGAGAGCAAGCUUUCAGUGACUGGAGUUAGAGGAACAAUUGGAUUCAUCGCCCCAGAAGUUCACUAUCGAACCUUCGGGGUGGUUUCAACAAAGUCAGAUGUUUAUAGCUAUGGAAUGAUGCUGCUGGAGAUGUUUGGAGAUUGGAUUUACGACCACUUUGCACAAGAUGAGGGAUUGCAAGCAUGUGAAAUUACAAUAGAAAUUGAGGAGAUCGCGAGAAAGAUGAUCAUAAUAGGCUUGUGGUGCGUACAAGUGUUACCUAUGUAUCGCCCUACUAUAACAAAAGUUCUAGAAAUGUUUGAGAGAAGCUUAGAUGAUCUGGAGAUGCCGCCGAAGCAGAACUUCUGUGAACUAUUUGAAAACUCAGCUCACAAUUUGGAUGUACAAAGUUCAAGUUCUACUAAACCUGAAGAGAUCAGCCUUGUGAAAUCAGAAAUCCUACAACAAUCGCCAACUCAUUGA
rnacentral:rRNA from 1 species